ACGCUCACACCUACGGGGCAGCAGUGGGGAAUAUUGCACAAUGGGGGAAACCCUGAUGCAGCGACGCCGCGUGGAGGAAGAAGGUCUUCGGAUUGUAAACUCCUGUUGUUGGGGAAAAAGAGGAUGGUACCCAACAAGGAAGUGACGGCUAACUACGUGCCAACAGCCGCGGUAAUCUGAGCGGGCUGGCAAGGC
rnacentral:rRNA from 1 species